rnacentral:rRNA from 1 species
AGGGUUUGAUUAUGGCUCAGGAUGAACGCUAGCUACAGGCUUAACACAUGCAAGUCGCGGGGCAGCAUGAAGUCAGCUUGCUGACUUUGAUGGCGACCGGCGCACGGGUGAGUAACGCGUAUCCAACCUGCCUGUUACCACGGCACAGCCCGUCGAAAGGCGGAUUAAUGCCGUAUGUGGUCCUUUGCGGGCAUCUAAUUAGGACUAAAGGUUCGGCGGUAACGGAUGGGGAUGCGUCCGAUUAGCUAGACGGCGGGGUAACGGCCCACCGUGGCGACGAUCGGUAGGGGUUCUGAGAGGAAGGUCCCCCACACUGGAACUGAGACACGGUCCAG